AUGAUCAUCCCGGUCCGCUGCUUCACCUGCGGCAAGGUGAUCGGGAACAAGUGGGACCACUACCUCGAUCUUCUCCAGGCCGAUUACACUGAGGGGGAUGCUCUGGAUGCCUUGGGCUUGGUUCGCUACUGCUGCCGCCGUAUGCUCAUGACCCAUGUUGAUCUCAUCGAGAAGUUGCUCAACUACAACAGCAAGUUGAUGCUGUUAUGUAACUUCCCCUGGAGAAGACGGAGACAAAUUGAACCCAUUCUGCCUCGAAACCCUUGUUCCUUUGUCUUUUCAAGAUGGAUGAUAUGCUGUUUCUUAUGUCAGUGCUUAGGAGGUGCAAAGUGUGAGGUCCUGAAAUGA
rnacentral:rRNA from 1 species